AAAGGAUGAAAAAUCUAGAAAUGCUUAAAAAGCUAUUGUCCAAAAUAUUAAAAGGGCAUUUUCGGCCACUUAAUUUGUGAGAAAAAUUCUGGCCUUUUGAGACAUGAAAGUAUAUGGUAUAAAGUUCCUCCUGACCAAAAAUGAGCUCAUUCCAACUUAAAAUGAGCAAGUUAUGACCAUUUCAAUAUUUAGGUUUUUUCGACGAAAAACGCUAUAACCGGAGUUCUAUAACUUCGAUGACCAUGAAAUUUAAACUGGAAGAUCACGUUAACAUGUAUAAGAUCUUGUCAAGAUUUGGGAAUUUCUAGAGUUAAACUUGAGGUAGCUAAUUUCUUAAGGAAUUAAUUAGAAAUUGAUUUUUGAAAAAUAGUAAAUGAAUUUUAAAAAUUCCGAGAAAAGUAUAUGUUCAAUAUGGGACUAUAUUCUGCUAAAUCCCAGAAAAGAAAUACUUUUGGGACUGAUUUGGUAUUUUUCAUGAAAAUGAUCUAGUUAUGAGUAAAUGAGUUAAAUAUGUUAUGUGAAGUAACAAAGUUGAAAAAUAGGAUUUUAUGGCUUGGGAAUCCUAUAUGGGGUAUAUGCAGAUUUUUGAUGAGGGAUUUGAUCAUUGGUAAUGAAAUCUUAUGAGUAUGUCAUUUUUGAAUGAUUAAAUGCAUUAUUUAGUAAAGUGUAAACAAUUGAAAUAAAUUGUUUAUAAGUUUAAGAAGUGAUUAAAAUAUUGUUCUAAUAUUAAUAAUAUUAGAUUAUGAGUUUAUUAAGUGAUUGAUAAUAUUUGGAUAAAUUUAAAGUCUUUAAUAUUUAUCCUUGUUUUCGUUUGAUUAAUGCUUAUAUCAUNNNNNNNNNNNNNNNNNNNNNNNNNNNNNNNNNNNNNNNNNNNNNNNNNNNNNNNNNNNNNNNNNNNNNNNNNNNNNNNNNNNNNNNNNNNNNNNNNNNNUUGACUCUUUUAAUGGAUUGCUCGUUCCGCUGCAACUAUGGUUGAAAAGUUUUAUCAUGUACCAUAUGUUUUAAAUCUUUGAUUUAUUACUGAUGAAGGCUAUUGAUAAUUUAAUUAUCUUUAGUCAUGAUAUUCUUUACUGGGCUAGUUUUGCUCACCCUUUUGCUUCACAAUUCCUUUCAGGUAAUAAGAGUGUAGCUGGGUCGAGCGGGGAUAACAGGAAAAUAGUGAGAUGGUUCGAGACUGUUGAAGUUUCUUAAUAUAUUAUAAAACGGCAUGACAUGAAAUAUAUAAUUGCAUUGAGGACCUAAAAUGUGCGUGUCGUAUUUUAUACGUCACUUAAUAAUUGAUUUUAGUGAACAACAAUAGGUUAAUGAGAACCCAACUUUGGAAGGGUGUUUUGCCAUUAUCAUACAAGAUGUCGAAUGACAUACAAUCUCGUGUUAUCAUAAGACAAGGUUGUGCACACCCACUUGCUGAGUAUAUCUAUGAGCACUACCUAUAUGAUCUUGGAGUAUAUUUGAAAUAUAAUUCUCACUUGGAGACAACUGAGAUAAUUAGAGAAAACUCAUCAUUGGAAGGAACAUGAUAGUAAUCUUCUCGUUUUUCUUUGGAGUCUAUUGGAUCAACUAAGGAUAAUUCUCUGGACAUAUGAUAUCUAUCAUAACUUAGAUUCAUGGCCUCCCAUGUACGAAGGUUUUCUUGAACACUUCCCAAAGAUUUUAAUUUCUAAAACAGUUAUUGACUGUACUUUUAUGUAACGUACCAUUGUAAGGUUGUGGUCGAGGCACCAUGAGAGUUACAUUUGUAUUGAAACUCACAGCUUAUCUGUUGUCGUACUCUGCACGACAGUUUAACAGUUGUAUAAAUGAAGUUGUAUUUGAUUUUUAUAGAGUGAUAUCUGGCGACUCAGAAUGGGUCGGGUGGACCUAUUUUUGGGGGCGUCAAACAUAGGUUGCUUAAUGUAUUUUACUAAUUGCACAAGACCUGAUAUAUAGUUAAUAGACUCCAGAUACACUCAUAAUCCUAAUAAGGAUCAUUGGAUUGCUUUAUGUAGAAUACUCAAGUAUAUGCGAGGUACUAUUGGAUUUGGCUUGUAUUAUUGCGGUAAUCCUGCAGUUCUUGAGGGCUAUAGUGAAUUAGUGAUGCCAAUUGGAUCUCUGAUUCAGAUGAAAUCAAAUCCACGAGUGGCUACAUAUUUACUUAGGAGGAGCAGUUUCUUGGAAAUCUUCUAAACAGACUUGUAUAGCUCGCUCUACUAUGGAGUCUGAGUUUAUUGCCUUAGAGAAGGUAGGUUCUGAAGCAAAGUGGCUCAGAAAUCUUUUGGGAAAUAUUCCUUUGUGGACGAGACCAGUUCCAUCUGUCUCUACAGUGUGAUUGCCAAACUGCUAUAGGUAGAGCUAAAAAUAAGAGCUAUAAUGGCAAGAGUAGGCAUAUACGCCUAAGACAUAAUAUUGUGAGACAGUUGUUAUGUGAUGGGAUUAUAUCCCUUAACUUUGUAAGAUCAGAGUUAAAUCUUGCAGAUCCUCUAACAAAGCCACUAAGCAAGAGGUUAGUGAGCAAUACAUCGAGGGGGAUGGGACUACUGUCUAUUACAGAAAUCAACAGUGAUGGUAACCCAACUUAUAUGAAUGGUAAUUCCAGGAAGUAGGUUCAUAUGGGUAACACCAAGUCAUUGGUUGAGACACUAUCCAUUUUAUACAUAUUUGAGUUCAUCUCUAUGAUGUAGGAUAGUGUAAUUCUACAGUGUUAGAGGUUGAGUUAUAUACUCUUAAUGUUUUUCAUAGUCCUGUUGGGUGAUGUGUUUAACUGUAGAACACAUUUGAUGGAAACACCUAUAUGAGUGUAGAGGUGGGGCCGCCUCUUAUGAAAACAAGGCAGGUUUUCUAGAGAUCUCAUGAAUUUCAGGUAUAGCGCAAGGCCAAAAUGUGCCAAAUCGCGUAGAAUAACUUCUAAUUAGAGUUUGUAGUGGGAGUAAUAUGAUUACUGAUUCAUAAUAAGGAAAAAAGUUCAUAAAAAUUUUCAUUUCACCAAAUUCCUGUGAAUCAAGUCCUAUUCACUCUAUACAUUGGUUCAUAGUCCAAAAAACACCAGUGUUAACACACUGCAUUCUUAUAUUUUUUAAUCAAUUUAUUUUAUUUUUACUUUGUAAUAUGUGGGGGAUUGUUGUAUUUUAUACAAAAUAAUAUAUUACAAAGUUAAAUAAAAAUAAUAUAUUCAUAUAUUAUUUGGUGAUGUACCAUUAAAAGAGUUUAAUGUGUAAAUUGAAUGAGUUAUAAUUAAUAUAUUUGUGGAGAUUUUGUAACUGUUCAAUAUAAAUUAAUUGCUUAAUUAUUGGGAUAUUAAGUUUUUAUUACCGUUAAAGAGAUUUAAUUUCAUUACCGUUGAAGAGUGUUUCGUUGCUAUAUUAUUAGGAUAUAUUACCGUUGCCUUCUAUUCUCAUAUAAAAGAAAAGGAAAGGCUGAACUCUUACCCAUAUAUAUAUCUUCUUUACAUAUAUUGUGAAGAUAUAUAUUAUUUUAUCAAAAGGGUUGCACUCACACACAUAUAUUCUAUAUAUAUUUACUGUCAUUGCUGGCAACUUUAUAUACACAGACUACUACUGAACUUCUGCUUUAUAUAUAUACCUAUACUUCCGUGUAUAUAUAUAUAUAUUUAUAUAUAUAUAUUCAGCUUUUUCAAUUUGUACACAUAUAUUAUAUACAUAAAAUAUUUAUAUAUAUAUAUAUAUAUGUGGUAUAAUUUUUUGAGUUUGAGUAAGGAAAAUUAGAAGUUGUUCUUGGGUCAUUCAACUAUUUCAAGUGCUGAUUAUUUGGGUGAAGAGCCGUUGAAUCCUGGAGUAGGAUUUCGUCAGUGACCUUGGCACCGAGAAAAGUUCUCUGAGGGGCGAAAUUUCUACAUAAGAACAGUGCCCUGCAUGCCUCUACUCAACAUAAUUCGCUCUAAAUCGAUAAGUUUUAUUUCUGUCCUUCUUUUAUUUGAUAGUUGAAUCCUAUAUUUAUUCGUAUUUUACGAACACUAUUGUCAUAUUAUAUUUACAACACUUUCUCUUUCCUCUCUCUAUACUACUUUUACCUUUGUGUGUGUCUUUGAGUGCAAAACUGGAUGUGCACAUAAAUAUAUUUGAAUAUGAGUAGUACUGUUAGUAGUGAGGGAGUUGGAAAGUGUAAUUGAAGUCCAGAGAGAGCUGAAUAUAUUACUCCCUCUGUUCAAGACUCAAGAGUGCUGUUAGUACAUAUUUACGCAAGCUAAGAAAGUCUAACACUCUUUUUUAACCUUGAGCCUCAAAAUAAAAAGGUUCAAUGUUUAACAUAUAUAAAACUAAUACUCUUCCACUAGUAUGAGUACUAAAGUAAUACCCCAUACAUAUGCUAAUUUUAAUGAGAUAAAGUGCUUUUAUAUGGGUGCACAAACUUUAUAACUUUGACUUAUGUGCUACAAGUUUUCUAAUAUCCGCCUAGGCAUCUACCUAGGCAAAAUCCCACGUCAAUUAAGUUGAGAAUUUGGUUGCAGAUUGAAAUCAAAACAUCACGUCUCAUAAAGAUUGUAUCUGCCCCCAAUUCUCGACUUAAUUGAUAACCUAUUAGUUGUUUGAAAAUAAGGAAUUCAGUUUUAUAUAAAUAUAUUAUUUUUUUUAAAAAAAGGCCCAAGAAGCGACCUAGCAUUCUUUUUAGAACAUUGACUUCAACCAUUCAAUAUGUAAUAUAUUUAUAGAUCUUUUCAAAAUAAAAUAAAAUUGGGUUGGUUUGGAAUCAUAGUUAAUGCGAUACCUGGCUAUUUGAAAACAAAAGGAAGAUUAACAACAAAAAUCUGAUGUAUUCUGAAUUUUUUUAAUUGAUUAUUGUCGAAAGAUUUUGUAUAAAAGCGUAGGAUUUCAGUUAUGUGAAGAGAAAUUUGGUCUGGUUUGGUUGAAUUUGAAGAUUGGGGAAAUUUUAAUAUUUUAGUUUUACUAAAUUUAGCGAUAUGAAAUGUGAGUUCGGAGUGCUGUAAGUAGAAUAUCAAUGAAUUUGAAGUGAAACUUUUCUGGUUAAUGUUUGGGUUCUUGCCACGAAAAUCAUUUUUCUAAUCCCAAAAUUUUAUGUAUGUAGAUCAUUAUAACACUAUUAGAGCCAAUGGUCUUACUUGACAAGCUGCAGCAACAACCUCAACCUGUGACCCUGCUGUUUGAGGUAUGCCAAAAAGAUGGUAAGCAAGUUGAUAUUCGGCAUUGGAGGAAGGGGGAUAGAAACAUUGCUACUGUGUUCGUUGAUGGCAAAUUUAUUGCCUCGGCUUCUUCCGAGCAAAAGGAGAAUGCAAAACUUCAUGCAGCAAAAGCUGCUUUGGAGAAAUUGCCUAGUUAUAUAACAAAUGGUAGAGUGAAUAUGGAUAUUUGUAGCGGACUUGAUGGAAAAUAUGAAAUUGAAGGAGCCAAACAGAAAUUACAUGAGGUUUGUGGCAAAAGAAAAUGGCCAAAACCAAGCUAUAGGUAUGAAUUUUUGAUCUUAAUAUGCGUGCUUAGUAGCUUUCUGAUUACUAAUAAGGUUCCUCUUCCUCCUCAAUUGUGUUCUUUUCCUUCCUAAAUAAAUCAAGUCCCAUUUGACUUUUAUUGUUACGUUUAAUAAGAUUUGUGUAGGACACAUAUUUUCUCGAUAUUUAUUUUCAAUAUCAAAUUUUAGGACUAGGAUAUGUCAUCGGUAAAAUAAAAAAUGAGAAAAUUAUAUUAGUGUGUUCUUGCCUCCUUGGCAAACCUUAUUAUAAGCUAUGUUACAUGGUUGGCGUAUCUGGUUGGACACGGAUUCUCUUCAAUUUUUUCAAUUUUUUACACUAAAAUAAAGUGUCAAGUAUCCAUACUUUUGUUCGAGUGUCGAACACGGGUAAUCUGGAGCAAAGUGAAGAGUCCGUGUAACAUUAAUAUAGAUUAUAAGUAUAGAAAAAGUUAACAAGUCAUUUGAGACUCAUUCUCAGAUGAAGGGACACUUAUUGAAACUUUCUCGCCAUUGUAACAAAAUGUGUGUAUUGAAUUAUAGAAAAUAUGCAACAUGGUUGAACUAAAUUUAUGCAAGAGAUUUGAAUUUCUAGGGCGAGUUGGUCCGGUAACUUCUGUUAUCAUUAAUAUAGAACACGUGAAGAAAAAAUAUUAACACCCCAACACUUCCACCUAUAAUAUGCUGAUAUGUAUGCAAGUUAUCUAAUCCUGAGGUUUUGCUUGAGCUUGCAGUAUUGUGAAAGAGGUAGGUCCGGCUCACGAGAGGAAAUUUGUAUGCUUGGUUAAAUUUGAAAUCCCAGAUGGUGUAGUUUAUGUGGAGGGAGAUGAAAAGUCGAGACUCAAGGAUGCGGAGACCUCUGCUGCUUCAAUGAUGCUCCGUGGUCUACGAGAACAUAAUUAUAUUUGAAGUUCCCGUGCCUAUAGAAAUGUAAAAUUUUGGAGGUCUUGUGUUGCAGGCACUGUAGGUCCAGGAAAAAUUUCUGGUUUAGGACACUGUACAAUUACCAGUAAGUUUUUUUUUUUUGUUAAGCUUUAGUCGGGCGUGUGAUGAAUCUGCAGGUGUUGUAGCAAAACUAGGAAGUAAUUGCAUUGCCUGCACUUUGUAAAAGCCUAGUUGUGAUGUUAUUUAUCUGGUAAAGUUGCCCCACAGGAACUUGUUGCUUGAAGGUUGAUGAAUUAGUUUAUGUUGUUUUCCAAUGGAGCAAAGAUUUUAUUGUAUGUCUUCUGCAUUUUAUAGAUUUUCUAUAGCUUGUCUUUUAGUCUUCCCUGGCCCUUGGAUUAUAUAGUUAUUCAUAAUUAACCUUAGAAACAACAAAAUAGUCCCUGAGAAUCAGAUUGUCAUUUUACUACUAAUUCAUGCAUAAAAUAGUCCAAUCUCAUACAAGAUAAUUGUAAACAAGGUAAAUGUCUGAACACUGGGGGGAAGAAACACUUGGUAAAACUCUAGGCUAUUUUUGUUUUUAAAAAACAUGUUUGGAAUUGGAAUAUUUCUCUUAAUUUAACAGUAAUUUAUAAUUUUUUUGGUAAUUUGAUAACGAGAAUGUAAGAAAAAAAAAAGUUUCAGUAAUCAAAAUGAAAAUUGACCCCCUAGUACAAUGACCAAAACAUCAAUUAAUCUUAUUCACGUCACCUGCCGCAUAAUUAACACUUGUUAACCGGUAGUUUAGUCGGCACUUCCGUUCAUUUUUUUGGACGAAAUAUUAAGUAAUAACCAUUUUGUAACCUUUUUUUGAGCAUAGUAAUAUGUUUUUAACAAAAAAAAAAUAUUCGGUAAUAAAAAUGAAAAUUCACCCUUAAUAUAAUGACCAAAAUAUCAAUUAACCCACAUUACUUUAUGUUAUGCAUAAAAUAGUAUUUUUAUAAUUUCUUAAAAUAUUAUUAUUAUAAAUGAUUCAAAUGAAUACCUUAUGUAAAAGCAUGAGGUAUGGUAUUAUACAUACUGUGAGACCCCGAAUUUUAUGAAAUAAAAGUAUUCAAUUUUUUUUAUUUUGGUGAAUAGUUAAAUUGAUAAAAGUUUAAAGUUAAGAGUGACAUUUGAAAAUUUUUCAAAGUAAGCAAGUUGUUAUAAAAUAAUCGGUAGUAAAAAUACGCAUGGUUGCAUAGUAGCACACGAUAUUGAUUAUUAAUGCUUACAUGAGAAGUCGCUCAGUUUGAUUCAAUUAUUGUCGAUAUUUUAUAUAUUAUUAAAUCAAUAAUUGAGAUAACAAAGUUAUUAAUAUUAUUAUUUGCAAUAUUAACGAUGUCUAGAAGUUCUGUCAAGAAGAGGUUUGGCCACCUAAUUGUGCGCCAAUAGGAAGAAAUCUUUAUUGGAAAACUCCCUUUUUCCUGGGAACGACCUGGUCGAUUAAUAGUGUGAAUUAUAAUAAUGAUGAUGAAGUUUUGUUUUAUUAGUAUUAUUAAUAUAAUAAAACAGAAAAACUUUUUAUAUAAAAAAGAAUAUUUUUAUAAAGUUAUUUGUUUUAUUAGAAUAUAAAUAGAAUAUAUUAUAUUUUAUUUAAAAGAUUUUGUUUUAUUAGAAUAUUUAAUAGUAAACCAAUCUGGACCGUCCGUUUAAAAGUAAAUCAAUCUGGACCGUUCAGGAAUUAGUUACUAUUCAGUCCAUUCUCCUAUAAAUAGAAACUCAUUCCUUCAUUAUUUCUUAUGAAUUCACUGAAACUCUAGAGAGAGAAAGAAGAAAAGUAUUCUGCUACUUCACUACUCCUAUAUCCAGUUUGUUCUAAGGUAAGAGAUAUUAUUUGUUGUACUCGUAAGGGGUAUUAUUUCUUUUGUAUUCAUGAAGAGAACUUCUGUUAUUCCAUUUUUUUUAUUCUGUUGGAAUAACCUGUAUAUAUACGCGGUCUACCCUAUACUUGAUGAAAUUCUUCUGUUAUUCCAUUUUUUAUCAUUAUAUUGGAAUAACCUCCGCAUACAUGGUGAAACUCUUCUGUUAUUCCAUUCUUUAUUAUUCUGUUGGAACAUCCUGUCGGUGCGAAUUUCGCCUGACCUGGUUCCGUUAUUUAUUAUUUUGUUGGAAUAUCCUGUCUGUGCGUUUACGCAUGACCUGGUUCCGUUAUUUAUUAUUCUAUUGCAUGACCUGGUUCCAUUAUUUAUUAUUCUGUUAGAAUAACUUGUCUGUGCGGUCUAUCGCAUGCAUGAUGAAUUCUGUUGUUAUUCCAUUAUUUAUUAUUAUGUUGGAAUAUUCUGUCGGUGCGAAUUACGCCUGACCUGGUUCCGUUCUUUAUUAUUCUGUUGAGAAUAACAUGUCUGUGUGGUCUAUCGCAUGCAUGGUGAAUUCUUCUAUUAUUCCAUUCUUUAUUAUUCUGUUGGAAUAACUUGUCUAUGUGGAUUACCACAUGCAUAGUGAGUGAUCCUUUGUAUUCAUUCCUUAUUAAAUUAUGGAAAUGAUUUGUUUACGUUGAUUAUGAUGAGAGUCAUAAUAAAAGCAUUGGACUGAUGAAAAUCAUGGGUAUAUGUAGUAUUAGUAAGUGUUAUGAUGAGUUAUGUUAGUUAUUAUGUGAAAACAUGAAAGUUUCUUAGAAAUCACAAAGAGUUGAAAAUCAGAUUUUGGUGAAAAUGGAACAUGAAAUUCAAUUAACCAUAUCUCCUAUUAUAUUUCAAAUUUUUGAAUGUGGUCAAGUCCUAGAGUUAGAUCUAUGAGUUUUCUAACUUAUCCAAGUGGAAUCACUUAAAAAGGAUUUACAGAUUUUCGUGUAAAAUGAUUUUAGUAAAAGAUGAAAAAUCUGGAAAUGCUUAAAAAGCUAUUGUCCAAAAUUUUAAAAGGGCAUUUUCAGCCACUUAAUUUGUGAGAAAAAUUCUGGCCUUUUGAGACAUGAAAGUAUAUGGUAUAAAGUUCCUCCUGACCAAAAAUGAGCUCAUUCCAACUUAAAAUGAGCAAGUUAUGACCAUUUCAAUAUUUAGGUUUUUCCGACGAAAAACGCUAUAAUCGGAGUUCUAUAACUCCGAUGACCAUGAAAUUUAAACUGGAAGAUCACGUUAACAUGUAAAAGAUCCUGUCAAGAUUUGGGAAUUUCUGGAGUUAAACUUGAGGUAGCUAAUUUCUUAAGGAAUUAAUUAGAAAUUGAUUUUUGAAAAAUAGUAAAUGAAUUUUAAAAAUUCCGAGAAAAGUAUAUGUUUAAUAUGGGACUAUAUUCUGCUAAAUCCCAGAAAGGAAAUAUUUUUGGGACUGAUUUGGUAUUUUUCAUGAAAAUAAUCUAGUUAUGAGUAAAUGAGUUAAAUAUGUUAUGUGAAGUAACAAANNNNNNNNNNNNNNNNNNNNNNNNNNNNNNNNNNNNNNNNNNNNNNNNNNNNNNNNNNNNNNNNNNNNNNNNNNNNNNNNNNNNNNNNNNNNNNNNNNNNNNNNNNNNNNNNNUAAUAUUAAUAAUAUUAGAUUAUGAGUUUAUUAAGUGAUUGAUAAUAUUUGGAUAAAUUUAAAGUCUUUAAUAUUUAUCCUUGUUUUCGUUUGAUUAAUGCUUAUAUCAUUGUCAUCAUUCUCAUGUUUGUGUUGUGUUGAAAGUCAUCUGUGGCCUGUAGUGCAUAGAUGGACUUGGUAUGAUUAUAACCAGGGAUUAUUCGGUAUAAUUAUAAUCAUAAUGUUAUAAAUGAUGUGGUAAAAGUCAUCUUUGGCCCGUAGUGCAUAGAUGGACUUGGUAUGCUUAUGAUCAGGGAUUAUUCGG
rnacentral:lncRNA from 1 species